GUCUUGAGCGUAUUGUGGGUUUCCUGUGUUGCAUACCUAACUAAUGGUAUCGUUUUGAUUGAUCGAAGUCCCUUUUCAUCUUGUGUUGCCUUUGCGACGCAUGAUGAACCUCGAAGCGGUCUCUAUGUUCCACCACGUUGAUGCUAGUGUUUUGAUGUUGUGGCCCAUUGAGCGUUGCUUGGUUUCGUGGAUACAGAACAUGAUUUGGGCAUAGGGUCACUCGUGACUCUUGUUUUGUCCUUUACCAGUGUUCUUUAUAACGACGGUUCAUGCGCGCCUAGGCUCGUACCUGCGCGAUGUUCUUUGUCGAAGAGGAAUGCUACCUGGUUGAUCCUGCCAGUAGUC
rnacentral:misc_RNA from 1 species